rnacentral:rRNA from 1 species
AUUGAACGCUGGCGGCAGGCCUAACACAUGCAAGUCGAACGAGUGGCGGAAGGGUGAGUAAUGUCUGGGAAAAUGCCUGCCGGAGGGGGAUAACUACUGGAAACGGUAGAUAAUACCGCAUACCAUCAGAUGUGCCAAGAUGGGAAUAGCUUGUUGGUGGGGUAACGGCGCACAAAGGCGACGAUCCCUAGCUGGUCUGAGAGGAUUACCAGCCACACUGGAACGUAGACACUGUCCAGACUCCUACGGGAGGCAGCAGUGGGGAAUAUUGCACAAGGGGCGCAAGCCUGAUGCAGCCAUGCCUCGUGUAUGAAGAAGGCCUUCGGGUUGUAAAGUACUUUCAGCGGGGAGGCGUUACCCGCAGAAGAAGCACCGGCUAACUCCGUGCCAGCAGCCGCGGUAAUAC